ensembl:lncRNA
UGUGUGUACACAUUCAUGUGUUGUAUAAGAGCGUGCAUGUACUUUCAAGGCCUGUGUACGUGCAGAACGGAACAUGGAACCAAGGCAGGGUCCAGCAGGCCCCACAGGCUUCUGAGUAAUUACAGAACUGUGAAACAGCUUUAAGCAAAGAACAUGAAUAGUACAGAACAACAAUAGACUGAUUAGAGUACUGAUAAUCUGUGUAGAUUAAUGUUAACCUAGAUAUGGUUCAAAGAUUAUUCUGUCAACUGGUUCAACAAUGGUAAAUGAUUAAUGAUUGAUACUUCUGAUUAUAACUGUGAUCAUAAGAAUACAAAAUAAAAUAUCUCCUGGUCACAUUCCUCCUCUUUGGGCUGGCUUGCCAGCCCAACUCACACCAGGAUUUAUUUCCAAACCAAACAAACACGUUAUGACGCUUAUCAAUCCCAACGCCUCCGUUGUUUUCCAAUUUUCCCACAACCCAGCUGUUCUUUUAGCUUCGGACUCGAGUUUCAGCCUGACACGCUUCAGGCCCCUUUGCCACCUCCUCUUGAAGUGAAGAAACGCCCUCGGAUUCUUCUUUCUUCGACUUCCGGGGUUAGACCACCCUUCAGUCGCUACACAGAUCUGUGUGUUUGUUGUCCGUUGUCACCGCCGUGUCCCCCUUUUUGCCAAAAGCCUCUCGAACCACGUUGGUCUCUGGUGUUCCUAGUUUUAGCCAACCCCUUCCUGGUUAUCGCUGUGGUUAUGGGAUCCAUCUUCUCAAGGAGCCCCAAGGCCAUGACACUUGACCCCAGUUGCUGUGAAGGGUCCCCAUAUCUCCGUGUCCCCGUCUGGUGUUGGCUUUCUGUCUCUUGCAGAGAAGGGAACAGACGCCAGACGGGGACACGGAGAUAUGGGGACCCUUCACAGCAACUGGGGUCAAGUGUCAUGGCCUUGGGGCUCCUUGAUAAGAUGGAUCCCAUAACCACAGCGAUAACCAGGAAGGGGUUGGCUAAAACUAGGAACACCAGAGACCAACGUGGUUCGAGAGGCUUUUGGCAAAAAGGGGGACACGGCGGUGACAACGGACAACAAACACACAGAUCUGUGUAGCGACUGAAGGGUGGUCUAACCCCGGAAGUCGAAGAAAGAAGAAUCCGAGGGCGUUUCUUCACUUCAAGAGGAGGUGGCAAAGGGGCCUGAAGCGUGUCAGGCUGAAACUCGAGUCCGAAGCUAAAAGAACAGCUGGGUUGUGGGAAAAUUGGAAAACAACGGAGGCGUUGGGAUUGAUAAGCGUCAUAACGUGUUUGUUUGGUUUGGAAAUAAAUCCUGGUGUGAGUUGGGCUGGCAAGCCAGCCCAAAGAGGAGGAAUGUGACCAGGAGAUAUUUUAUUUUGUAUUCUUAUGAUCACAGUUAUAAUCAGAAGUAUCAAUCAUUAAUCAUUUACCAUUGUUGAACCAGUUGACAGAAUAAUCUUUGAACCAUAUCUAGGUUAACAUUAAUCUACACAGAUUAUCAGUACUCUAAUCAGUCUAUUGUUGUUCUGUACUAUUCAUGUUCUUUGCUUAAAGCUGUUUCACAGUUCUGUAAUUACUCAGAAGCCUGUGGGGCCUGCUGGACCCUGCCUUGGUUCCAUGUUCCGUUCUGCACGUCCACAGGCCUUGAAAGUACAUGCACGCUCUUAUACAACACAUGAAUGUGUACACACACACUUAGUAAUAAUAGGAGGGUCAUCUGAGGACAGUUUUCUGAUAGAUACACUUUCACAAAAUGCACAAUGUAAUACACACUUGUUUUUCUCUAACAACUAGCAGUUGAUGUCCAUAUUAGGUAAACUCUCUGAACAGGCCCAAACUGUUAUCAUUUCCAGUAAGGUCUGACUGUGUGACGUCAUCAUAGCUUAUAUAAGGAGGGGGAGCUGUCCACUCUUUGGAGAUCUGUGGCUGUACGCUUGUCUUCCCAUGCUUCUGUCUUAGAAGUGUGCAAUAAAAUCACUAUGUUUGUCACCUACACGGACUCGGCUGUUUUUCCGUCUUACCCAAACCGAACCAGACGUAACAACUUGGUGCCGAAACCCGGUUGGGGGAGAAGGGGAGCUUGCAGCUAUCGUGUGGGUGACAAACAGGGGCGGAGGCCAGCAGCCUGUCUGAGUGACGCCAGGCGUCAUAAGAAAAGGUGUUUUUUCUUAACCUGGAAACCUGAGUACGGCAGCAGAAGACAGGCCAAGCUUUGGCUAAAAUUCACGGCUGGACACCAGAGUUGUCCUCACCCCUCCCGGAAAAACAAAAAAGAGAGAAUGUAGUUUGAGGCAGGUUUUUCUCGCUGAACUGCUCUGGGUGCUGUCUCCCUGAAUCUCACCAGUGUUAACCUCUGGCGGAAGACAUGGAGAAAAGGAAAAGAUGUUCCUGGUAAAUCACUGAAACAAAUAAAACCACACACAACCAGAGAAAGGUAUGAGAAGUGUGUGGAACAGACACAUGUGCGUGUUAGAGAAAUGCCUCGUUUGAGAAAAAGUUAAAUUAACCCAUAUACAGACGCACCCAUACAUGCAAUGAAGAAACAGCUUACAUACAUGUGCACGUACAUGCAAGGUUAAAGUAGCGACACUUAACAUACACCUGUUUUUAAAUGAUAUAGUUUAUACAUUACUGACAAAUAAACCCUUUGGGUUGCAGGACAACAACGUAACGUCAAAAGACAAAGACACUGGUCUGAUGAUUAAGUGAGGACACGACAAAUUUAGUGGUUAAAAGGGUCGAAUUGGGACAUGUUUUUGUUGAUUGUUUAAGACAAAUGACUACUGAAUGAUAGGAAAUUCCUUUUUUAGGUUUCUAAGCAGGAUCUUAAGAAUUUUAACACGUACCUGUGUUGUCCUGUCAACUUGAGGGGUUAUGAGUUGAUUAUAUGGUGAAAAAAAAAAAAAAAAAAAGGGGGGAGACGAGAUCUUUGUUGUUUCGUUGUUUUUCCCCUCUCUGGAUAACACAGCCAACACAACACAGCCAACACAACAUCAUUUUCCUGUUCGCCUGUUUUGUUUGUUUUUGUUUUUUCUGAAAGCCGAAGCUGACCUGGACUCCUACCCUCCCCUCUACCAUCGUUGCCCUCUCCGCGACCAUUUUUGACCCUUUGACCCCUGAAGGCCACAGCAGCUGGACUCACAACAACAACUUGAGGAUGUCAACAGUGCUGCAAAAGAGUG